rnacentral:rRNA from 1 species
GAUGAACGCUGGCGGCGUGCCUAAUACAUGCAAGUCGAGCGAACAGACGAGGAGCUUGCUCCUCUGACGUUAGCGGCGGACGGGUGAGUAACACGUGGAUAACCUACCUAUAAGACUGGGAUAACUUCGGGAAACCGGAGCUAAUACCGGAUAAUAUAUUGAACCGCAUGGUUCAAUAGUGAAAGACGGUUUUGCUGUCACUUAUAGAUGGAUCCGCGCCGCAUUAGCUAGUUGGUAAGGUAACGGCUUACCAAGGCAACGAUGCGUAGCCGACCUGAGAGAGAGAGCGGACACAAUGGGACUUAGACGCGGUCCAGACGCCUGCGGGAGGCAUCAGUGCGGAAUGUUAGGCAAGGUGCGAAAUCUUGAAAUAUCUUCUUCUCGGGAAAGAAAAAGGGCUUCGGAUCCUAAACCUCUGUUGUUAGUAAAGAACAAAAGUGUAAGUAACUAUGCCCGUCCUGACGGUACCUAAUUAGAACGCCACGGCUACCUACGUG